UGGGGAAUAUUGGACAAUGGGGGGAACCCUGAUCCAGCCAUGCCGCGUGUGUGAAGAAGGCCUUAUGGUUGUAAAGCACUUUAAGCGAGGAGGAGGGUACUGGUAUUAAUACUACCAGGUACUGGACGUUACUCGCAGAAUAAGCACCGGCUAACUCUGUGCCAGCAGCCGCGGCAAUACAGAGGGUGCGAGCGUUAAUCGGAUUUACUGGGCGUAAAGCGUGCGUAGGCGGCUAAUUGAGUCGGGUGUGAAAGCCCCGAGCUUAACUUGGGAAUUGCAUUCGAUACUGGUUAGCUAGAGUGUGGGAGAGGAUGGUAGAAUUCCAGGUGUAGCGGUGAAAUGCGUAGAGAGCUGGAGGAAUACCGAUGGCGAAGGCAGCCAUCUGGCCUAACACUGACGCUGAGGUACGAAAGCAUGGGGAGCAAACAGG
rnacentral:rRNA from 1 species